rnacentral:rRNA from 1 species
GCGAGUUAUCAGCUCGUGUUGACUACGUCCCUGCCCUUUUACACACCACCCAUUGCUCCUACCAAUUGAAUGAUCCGAUGAAAUGUUCGGAUUGCUGCAAAGUAGGCGGUUUGCUGCUCGCGACAUCGCAAAAUGUCCAUUGAACCUUAUUAUUUAGAGGAAGGAGAAUUCGCAAUAAGGUUUUCGUAGGAGCACUGAAAGGGAUGAAUUUAUUAGAUAAAAGGUCGAUGCGGGCUCUGCCCGUUGCUACGAUGAUUCAUGAUAACUCGACGAAUUGCACGACCAUCGUGUCGGUGAUGCAUCAUUGAAAUUUCUAUCCUAUCAUGUUUCGAUGGUAGGAUAGUAGCCUACCAUAUUGGUGACGGGUGAAGAAGAAUUAGGGUUCAAUUUCGGAGAGGGAGACUGAGAAAUGACUACCACAUCCAAGGAAGGCAGCAGGUGCUUAAAUUACCCAAUCCUGACAUGGGGAGGUAGUGACACUAAAUAACAAUCCUGGGAUCAAUGAGUUUGGUAAUUAGAAUGAGUACAAUCUAAAUCCCUUAAUAAGGAUCCAUUGGAGGGAGAGUCUGGUGCCAGCAGCCUCGGUAAUUCCCACACCAAUAGCGUAUAUUUAAGUUGUUGCAGUUAAAAAGCUCGAAGUUGGACUUUGGGAUUAUCUGGCCAGUCCGCCUAUGGUGUGUAUUGGUCAUCUCGUCCCUUCUAUCGGUGAUGUGCUCCUGGCCGUAGCUGACCGGGGUCGUGCCUCCGGCGCUGUUACUUUGAAAAAUUAGAGUCGUUAAAGCAAGCCUAUGCUCUGUAUACAUUAGCAUAGGAUAACAUUAUAGGAUUUCGGUCCGAUUACGUUGUCCUUUGAGAUCGAAGUAAUGAUUAAUAGGGAAAGUCGGGGGCAUUCGUAUUUCAUAGUCAGAGGUGAAAUUAUUGUAUUUAUGAAAUAUGAACAACUGUGAAAGAAUUUUCCAAGGAUAUUUUCAUUAAUCAAGAAUGAAAGUUGGGGGCUCGAAGGCGGUUAGAUACCGUCCUAGUCUCAACCAUAAAUGAUGCCGACCAGGGAUCGGCAGAUGUUGCUUUUAGGACUCCGCCGGCACCUUAUGAGAAAUCAAAGUUUUUGGAUUCCAAGUAGAGUAUUGUUGCAAGGCUGAAACUUAACGGAACUGACGGAAGGGCACCACAAGGAGUGGAGCCUGCGGCUUAAUGUGACUCAACACGGGAAACUUACGAUGUCCAGACAUAGUAAGGAUUGACAGACUGAGAGAUCUUUCUUGAUUCUAUGGGUGGUGGUGCAUGGUCAUUCUUAGUUGGUGGAGUGAUUUAUCUGGAUAAUUCCGUUAACAAACAAAACCUCAGCCUGCUAACUAGCUAUGCGGAGGAAUCCCUUCAUGGCCAGCUUCUUAGAUGGACUACGACCUUUUAGGCCAUGGAAGUUUGAGGCAAUAACAGGUUUUUGAUGCCCUUAGAUGUUCUGGGCCGCACACGUGCUACACUAAUGUAUUCAAUGAGUUUAUACCCUUGGCCGACAGGCCCUGGUAAUCUUUGAAAUUUCAUCGUGAUGGGGAUAGAUCAUUGCAAUUAUUGGUCUUCAACGAGGAAUUCCUAGUAAGCGCGAUUCAUCAGCUCGCGUUGACUACGUCCCUGCCCAUAGUACGCACCGCCCGUCUCUCCUACCGAUUGAAUGAACUGGUGAAAUAUUCGGGUUGCGGCGAUAUGGGCAUUUCACUGCCCGCAUCAUCGCAAAAAGUCCAUUAAACCUUAUCAUUUAGAGGAAGGAGAAUUCGUAACAAGGUUUCCGUAGGUGAACCUGUGAAAG